rnacentral:lncRNA from 1 species
CUGCUUCACCACUGGAACCCGAAACGGUAGUUCCGGAUGACCUUGAACUGAACCCGGAGCCCUAGGGAUGGAAAGUCUCAGCAUGCAUGUGGGGUGCUGUGGAACCACAGUGUUCCCUGCAAAGGGACAGCAUCAACUGUUGCACAAGACAAUCUUUGAAGUCAGACAGACACCAUCUUCAGGAGGGCGGCUGGGCCUGUGUGCAAAAGAUCAUCACAACUGGGCUCGUUGACUUUUGGGGUUCCCUCAUUAGAGUAUCCCAGCUGGCUGUAUGCAGUUCUGCCCUGGUUGCACAUGGUUGAGGUUCAGGGAAAGGAAGGGCUGAAGUGUAGGGAGGGAGGGACUAGAGUGGGAAGCGCUGUCUAUGAUUUUGUGGGGGAGACAUCAUCCACACUGGCCACACUUUCCAGUGCGGCCUCUUUAAAGCUUCCCUUCUCCUGCCUGCAAUCUGCCCCCACCCCCUGACCUUUAUGUAAGUCUAAUAAAGUCGCUCGGCCCAAGGGUGAACUUAUUGGAACUGAA